rnacentral:rRNA from 1 species
AUUGAACGCUGGCGGCAGGCCUAACACAUGCAAGUCGAGCGGAUGAGAGGAGCUUGCUCCUCGAUUCGGCGGCGGACGGGUGAGUAAUGCCUAGGAAUCUGCCCAGUAGUGGGGGACAACGUUUCGAAAGGAACGCUAAUACCGCAUACGUCCUACGGGAGAAAGUGGGGGAUCUUCGGACCUCACGCCAUUGGAUGAGCCUAGGUCGGAUUAGCUAGUUGGUAGGGUAAAGGCCUACCAAGGCGACGAUCCGUAACUGGUCUGAGAGGAUGAUCAGUCACACUGGAACUGAGACACGGUCCAGACUCCUACGGGAGGCAGCAGUGGGGAAUAUUGGACAAUGGGCGCAAGCCUGAUCCAGCCAUGCCGCGUGUGUGAAGAAGGCCCUCGGGUCGUAAAGCACUUUAAGUUGGGAGGAAGGGCUUACAGCGAAUACCUGUGAGUUUUGACGUUACCGACAGAAUAAGCACCGGCUAACUUCGUGCCAGCCGCCGCAGUAA